AAUGAGGUUGGUUUGCUGUGAAAUAAAC
rnacentral:piRNA from 1 species